UUGUCAGUGAGGUAUAUCCUUACCUGUUACCUUAGUAAUAAGGUUUCAGAACAUGAUGAUUGGAUUCAAUGAAUACGUGAUUAUUUUCCGUAUUUGUAAAAGAAUUGCAACUCUUUUACGAAUCCUGUCUGAA